rnacentral:rRNA from 1 species
AUUGAACGCUGGCGGCAGGCUUAACACAUGCAAGUCGAGCGAGCGGCGGACGGGUGAGUAAUUUCUGGGAAACUGCCUGAUGGAGGGGGAUAACUACUGUAAACGGUAGCUAAUACCGCAUAACAUCAGAUGUGCCCAGAUGGUCUUAGCUAGUAGGUGGGGUAAUGGCUCACCUAGGCGACGCUCCAUAGCUGGUCUAAGAGUAUGACCAGCCACACUGGGACUGAGAUACGGUCCAGACUCCUACGGUAGGCAGCAGUGGGGAAUAUUGGACAAUGGGCGAAAGCCUGAUGGAGCAAUGCCGCGUGUGUGAAGAAGGCCUUCGGAUUGUAAAGCACGUUCAGCGAGGAGGCGUUACUCGCAGAAGAAGCACCGGCUAACUCCGUGCCAGCAGCCGCGGUAAUUC